UACGUAGGGGGCAAGCGUUGUCCGGAAUCAUUGGGCGUAAAGAGCGUGUAGGCGGCCCGAUAAGUCCGCUGUGAAAGUCCAGGGCUCAACCCUGGGAUGCCGGUGGAUACUGUCGGGCUCGAGUCCGGAAGAGGAGUGUGGAAUUCCUGGUGUAGCGGUGAAAUGCGCAGAUAUCAGGAGGAACACCCGUAGCGAAGGCGGCACUCUGGGCCGAUUCUGACACUGAGGAGCGAAAGCGUGGGGAGCGAACAGG
rnacentral:rRNA from 1 species